rnacentral:rRNA from 1 species
GAUUAGUGGCGAACGGGUGAGUAACACGUGAGCAAUCUGCCCUUGACUCUGGGAUAACUGCGGGAAACUGUAGCUAAUACCGGAUACGACACCUUGGGGCAUCCCAGGGUGUGGAAAGAAUUUCGGUCAAGGAUGAGCUCGCGGCCUAUCAGCUUGUUGGUGAGGUAAUGGCUCACCAAGGCGACGACGGGUAGCCGGCCUGAGAGGGUGACCGGCCACACUGGAACUGAGACACGGUCCAAACUCCUACGGGAGGCAGCAGUGGGGAAUAUUGCACAAUGGGCGAAAGCCUGAUGCAGCAACGCCGCGUGAGGGAUGACGACGUUCGGGUUGUAAACCUCUUUAGCAGGGAAGAAGCGAAA